rnacentral:tRNA from 14 species
AAUGGAUCAAUGGUAGAAAAUAUACCUUCUAAGCAGGUGUUCCAAGUUCGAUUCUUGGAAG